UAAAGACACAAGCUGAUCCCUAUCUGAUUCUUCAUACCAAUAGUGCAGAAAUAUCUGCAAAUAAGUAAUUACUAGGAAGAGCUGCAGAAAUAAGUGAAAAGGCUAUGUGUAUUUACUGCUUCCUGUCAAUCCAGUAUACGUCAUGCAAAGAUUACCAUAUCAAAUAGCCUGAUUAGCCUUACUGGAACAGAACAGGAUGUAGUAAUGCAAAUAUGAACUAACUUUUUCAUGAUUUAGAGUAUUCUAUAUAAUUUAACAUGCUAUGAUUGCUUUACCACUACAAUAUAUCUCCUGCACAGGUUAAAAAAUAUAUAUCUCCUGCAGAUGAGCUCUUGAUUAUUCUGCCAAUUCAGAGUAUGUGUAUAGAUGAUUGAAUGCGCUCACUGGUAUGAAACUAUGUAGCUUAAUCUGGUAAAUAUCUUGGCAUCCUAAACUUGAGAGUUCCUAUUGGCUUAAGUGAAUACAUGCAUCCUAAACUGAAUACUUGCUUGACUGAGUUAACACGUCCAUCUACUGAUCUAAAUCCUGACUGGCAUGACUAAACACAUGCAGUUCCUCCAGAUUUAGACAUGAGGUAGCCAUUUUUUUCUGAUUCUUCAUCUAUUAGUUCCUUUCGUAAUAGAGUCCUUCAUGUUUUUUCCUUCAGAUCUAAUUGCUGCAACUUUGUUGGCACAUAACCCAUUUGAUGGAUUCAAAAAGAUGCAUGAGUACUUUCUUUUUGAUUUUUCAGGGUCCUAUAGUGCUGGCAUGCACAUCAAGUAUUUUUCAAAAUGGAAAACUUCGAAAUGUACACAACUUUCUGUUAGAGGUAGAUACUGUAACAAUUCAACCAAGUGUGCAUAGUCAAAUUUAACUAAUUGCUUGAGGAAUUAAGGUAACCCGUUUAUGUAUCAAGAUGUGUUCCUUCUUUUCGCUCAGAUAAUCAACUUAAGGCAUUCGAGAUGGCAAAUAGUUCAGUACUAUUAAAUUAUGAAUUAAUCUUACAGUUUUUCUAUUUCGUUACAGAUACUCAACAGAAUUUGUCUAUUGCCUGUUGCUUCUAUGGAUGUCAAUUGCUAGCUACAUCAAAAGGUAUUGGCUAAGCAAAAAAGUUGAAGGUAUUGGCUAAGCAAUUUUAAAAGGUUUAUCGGUGAGCGGAGGUCUCUCUCUCACACAGAAACGUCUCCCUGUUCGAACUAUCAGUUGGUAAUUGGAAACAAAAACUCAAAAUGUUGAGCUGCAUAAAUUUCCAUCUCUUCAUUUGUCUAUUCAUCAGUACAUUGCAAUGUCUUGCAUUGCACAGGAAACCUCCAAUGAUAUUUUCCCUUUUUCGUUCCACAAUUUUUCAUGCCAGUACACAUACUCUCAUGUUUUCUAUUUUGCACAGUUCGUUUGAAUUCGAGUUUCAUAUACUGAUUCGUAGACAUCAGUACAUUGCGCUGUGUUGCAUUGCACAGGGCACCUCCGAUGAUAUUUUUCCUUUUUUGUCCAUGAUUUGUCAUGCCAGUACACCUAUGCUCAUGUGUUCUAUUUCGCACGGUUCAUUCGAACUCGAGUUCCAUAUGUACUGAUUUGUAGAUAUGCCUCACCUUUAGAACUAUAAUUUGCAUGCACUUCAUAUUAAGGAGCAAUGGAUGCCCCUCUAUCUCAACUACUCCCUGCCGAACAAACACAUUUAUCACGCCCCUGUAUCUCAACUUAUUUUACCUCACAAUCUUAAUUACCAAGGAAUAGUUUUCAUGCAUUCUAAUCCAUAUGUAUGCCUAACCCUUUGAAUUAUACUUUGCAUGCACUUCUUAUUGGCGCUGCAAUGGAUGAUCACACUAAGAAAUAGUUUUUAUAUGUUCUGGAGUAUUCCCUUUGUAGACAAAAAUAAAUAGAUGCCCCAGUAACUAAAAUUGUCCCUUCAUAUCGAAAGUAUUUGUCAUGCCACCACCUUCAAGCUCAUGUUUCUAAAAUGUAUGAUUUAUUUUACCUAGCAAUCCUACUUAGGAAUAAUUCUCACAUACUAAUUCAUGAAUAUACAUAAUCUCUUGGAUUACAGUUUGCAUACACUUUGUACUAGCUACUAUAUUAUUUAUCAGAGUGCAUAAUGUACAUGAAUGUUCAGAAAAGCCUUUUUUUUAUUUUCACGCAGCUAAUACUACAAUUUUCUUCUUCAUCAUAGGGAAACAUAAUGGAAGGACACAUACCAGGCAACCAUAUAGAUCAGUUCAAGGACCCUCUAAAAGAAGUUAUAUACCAUAGAGAGCUUCAUCUUUGCAGAUGCACGCAAGAAAUACAGGUCAACGGAUCAACAAUAUAGAUUCAAAUUUACUCAGCGCACAAAGCUCCACCUCUGGGAAAAAAAAGGUAGGCCAAAGCAUUGGCUACUACACCCAGCAAGAAGCACAUCAACAAAGAGCUCUUCCGACGAUAGCAAAAGUCAGCCAAAAACGGGCCAGCUUAGCUGAAAAAUCCAAGACAGAGAAGGAAUGAAGCAGCAAGACAAAGACUGAGCUACUUGGAAGAUUAUCCAUGUUUAGAUGCUCUUUGAUAUUCUGCUAAUAUAGUGAGUAGUGUUGUCCGCAACAAAUUAUUACCAUUCUCAUUUUCAACACAAAAUUUGGAAAUUUAACUUCAAGAUAUUUUUAAAAUUUUAAAAUUUUGAGUUUCCAGUGUGAAGUUGUCAACAAUAACUAAAGAAAACUAUCUACUGAUGUUUUGGGUGCUAUAUAUUCCAGGGUGCUAUAUAUUCCAGAUUAUUUGUGCUACUGCUACUGCUAUUGUAAAGUCUUGAUUCUGAAAUCUAUAUGCCCGAAUAUCAUACAUUGGCUUUUCACUCAAAUCAUGCACCAUGCCUAAACACUAAUGUUCUGUUGAAUACAAUGAUCUUGCUGAACGUGAAUGCAGGUUUGUGCUGAGACAUUGGUAAAGAAAGCAUAUGAAGAAUGGAUGCAUGAUGUAGGAUACGAUGGUAAGACAUUCCAGAGCUUCAAGCACAAUCUGUCACAACCACAAGUGAUACAACAACAGCUUCAACAAGUAACCAUGCUUCACAUGGUCCGGUCAAUGCACAGAAACAAUUAUUUGCAGGAAAAGUUAGCCAAACUUCCACAGGUACUACAAGUGAAGACCUGCUAAUCUACGUUCUGUCUCUAGGAAUAAACACUUCUAUCAUACUGUAGUAUUAAGUGCCCAUCAGGCAAAUAAUUAAAUUACCUUUGUUGUGCUACUAUAUUCUUUAUUAUACUUCGUUUCUUUGGACUUCCAACUAUUAAGUUUAUGCUAGCCAAGCAUGUGUACUUAUGUUAGAUGGAACAUGAUUAUGUUAGAUGGAACAUAAGGGAACAUAUUCCUUCACUGUGGAUUAUUUGAUGUUGUACUGACAAUGUCCACACUCAUAUUAAAAGCAUGUACACUUCACCUCUGCCUCACAUAAAUUGCA